UUUGGGGGACGAGGUUACGACUUAGCCGCUGGAGCGAAAGUGGUCUGUUAGUACGAGGCUCGCAGCGCAGCUUUGAUUCUCGGUAGUCAAUGGACAUGUUACAACCACGAUUUUGACGGGGCCCCAGUUUUGAACGUCACGUCGGCUGAACGUGGUUUUCUCGGCACAAAUCGACUUCAAAUAUAUUGGACGGCAGGUGAGGAUGAAAAACUCCAACACCUCAGUGUCAAGGAAAAUCUCAAUUAUGUAAGCUGGUGUUUCUAAGGGAUAUACUGAACAGAGACUAAAUUUGCUGAGUACUCAGACUUCUGUUGAUCUUGUUUAAUUAAGGCAAACCAGAUACAUGCAAGUAUGAUGCUGACACGUACUAUUUUUGUAAAAACACUCAAUGAUUUAUCUUGCUAUUGUCUUUAAAGUCUUUGUGUGUGUUGCAGCUUCUGUUUGCCAUAGAUUGCUUUUUUUUUGAAAAGUCAGUGCCUGGCAUGUGGCAAAGGGUUAGAGUCGAACUAAUUAGCU